rnacentral:rRNA from 1 species
CAGCCGCCGCGGUAAUACCGGCGGCCCGAGUGGCGGUCACUAUUAUUGGGCUUAAAGCGUCCGUAGCCGGGUUGGGAAGUCCUCCGGGAAAUCUGGCCGCUUAACGGUCAGAAUGCCGGAGGAUACUCCCAGCCUAGGGAGCGGGAGAGGCCGAGGGUAUUCCCGGAGUAGGGGGGAAAUCCUAUAAUCCCGGGAGGACCACCUGUGGCGAAGGCGCUCGGCUGGAACGCGUCCGACGGUGAGGGACGAAGGCCAGGGGAGCAAACCGGAUUAGAUACCCGGGUAGUCCUGGCUGUAAACGAUGCGGACUUUGUGUCGGACAAGCUAUGAGCUUGUCCGGUGCCGGAGGGAAGCCGUUAAGUCCGCCGCCUGGGGAGUACGGCCGCAAGGCUGAAACUUAAAGGAAUUGGCGGG